UACGUAGGGACCAAGCGUUGUCCGGAAUCAUUGGGCGUAAAGAGCGUGUAGGCGGCUUGUUAAGUCUUGCGUGAAAUCUCGGGGCUCAACCCCGAGCGGUCGUGAGAAACUGGCAGGCUAGAGUGCGGGAGAGGAGAGUGGAAUUCCUGGUGUAGCGGUGAAAUGCGCAGAUAUCAGGAAGAACACCCGUGGCGAAGGCGGCUCUCUGGAACGCAUCUGACGCUGAGACGCGAAAGCGUGGGGAGCAAACAGG
rnacentral:rRNA from 1 species